GUUGCGCUAUGGAAAAUCGUUAGGGGGAUACACAGUGAUAAACGUAAUAGAUUCAAACAAUAAGGCUGAAACGGGAACUUGGUGGACCGACCGUACACCGAGGACCGGGUCUGAGUGGCGCCGGUCGCGAAACGGAUGAGACUCCUUUGGCACGGGAGGGAAACAUGCAGUUGGGAUAAACACGUAAGUUAUUUAUGUCAUUAUAGGGCAAGAGCGACAUAAUAGUGCGUAUAUUGCGUAGAGAAUAGCACUAUUUAAUUCAUAACCACUCGAGUAGCUACUGUGUGAACAGACAUAAUACAAGCCCAGUUGUAGCAGCGCUGCUGUAGAAGUGUAAAGAAUAAUAAAAAAAAGAAAGAAAAGAAAAGUCCUCUAGGCUGUUUGCAGGAAAACAUGACGUGAGGGCUUGUUGAUGGAAGAGGUUAUACACACUUUAAAUCACGAGUGUUUCAUCAUCGACAUGACAACAGACUUUGUAAUGCACACCUGCCUAAGCACAAUGGGACACUGACACGCCUGAUGGGAUGUUGCUGUUGACACCAAGGUUGCUGGCUCCUGUCAACCUUCCUAAUAACCCUAGUGAAGGAAAGCCUCCUGCUGCUUACCUGCCAGAGGGACAGGAGAUAAAGUGCUUCCCCGCCUCUCAGAGCUUCUGAGAAAUGGACAUGGCUUCUGAAAGUGACUUUUCUUAAACGCAUCCUCCCCAGGGAACUGGUUUCAGAUGGUGUCUUAGAGUAUAAAAUCCUGUCUAGCACCAUUUGAAAUCGGUGUUCUUGAGCGGGAACGGGCUUCAGGAAUGACGACAGCAACAACUUAAUUCACUAAGUUGGAAGACAGUUAAGGAUUGCAGUUUGGUGGCGUUGUUUGCAUUAAAAUGUUUAACAAACUAUUCCAGAUGUAAAAUGCGUUCAGUCAUAUCAAUCAGUUGGGUUCUCUGGACCAGUCCUCUGUACAGCUUACGCUCCAGUGACCAGAAGAAAAGAAGGUGUUGGAAGUCCAAUCUUCUGACCAGCUGGCCACCCCUUUCACCAAGGCUGACCGUUUUCAUCUGGUGUUCAGAGUUUCCAUCAUGUCUAGCACCAUUUGAAAUCGGUUACAAUGUGAAGGGACUAUCAACAAAGCUUUUACUUCAGCAGAUGCAUGAUGAAUUUCCUUAAAGUACCAGAAGAUGGUAGUAUUGAGCUGCCAUCCAUGCUAUCAUCCCAAGGCUAUCAAACCUUUUUUUUUUUAGAAUCAUUCAAGCAGUGAAAGUUUUAUUGGAGAACCCUGAUCAGGUACAACAACUGUUCCAUAGAGUUCCUUUUUGUUAGUCUGUUUGCUCUUUUUUCAGAAUUCUGUUUCUUCUUUAAUCGUGUUGCCAUCACUCAGCCGUGCUGUGUGUAAGUUCCAGCUGCAGUUAUCUUGUUCAUUUCCUCCAGGGACAGAUGAUAAACAGAGAGAAUAUCUAGUUAAAUGCUUCAGUAGUUCAGAGGCUGUGUAUCCACCCAUUGCAGAGCUCUCAAGGUAUACAAGUUUUUAUUUAUUUAUAUUUAAAUAAAACAUUUUUUUGUUAAAUUAACAUGUCAAUAGCUCCAUACUGUAUUUCCAUUAAUAAAGCAAAACUGGUUUCACUC